rnacentral:piRNA from 1 species
UCCGAUGUCCGAUACGAAGAUCCUUU